UAAUACAGAGGGUGCAAGCGUUGUUCGGAAUCACUGGGCGUAAAGCGCGCGCAGGCGGAUGGUUGCGUCCGGAGUGAAAUUUCGCCGCUCAACGGCGAAGCUGCUUUGGAUACGGACCGUCUAGGGACCGGUAGAGGCUGGUAGAAUUGCAGGUGUAGCGGUGGAAUGCGUAGAGAUCUGCAAGAAUACCCGUGGCGAAGGCGGCCAGCUGGGCCGGAUCCGACGCUGAGGCGCGAAAGCGUGGGGAGCAAACAGGAUUAGAUACCCUGGUAGUCCACGCCGUAAACGAUGGGCACUAGGUGCCGGGGGGAGCGACCCCCUCGGUGCCGCAGCUAACGCGAUAAGUGCCCCGCCUGGGGAGUACGGCCGCAAGGCUG
rnacentral:rRNA from 1 species